rnacentral:lncRNA from 1 species
UUAUUUAUAAAAAAAAUAUAAAUUAUUUUUUUUAUUUUUUAAUAGAAAAAUAGAUUUUUUUUAUUGGAAUUCAAGUUUAUAAUAUUUAAAAAGGCACCAUAUCGGAGCAAAUGGCACUCUUUAUUUAUUAAAAUAAAGGAUAAACUUCAAAUACCGCCCCUGUGGUUUCACACUUUCUCACUUUAGUAUCAUGUGGUUUAACGCGUAUCAAGUUAGUGUCCUGUGAUUUCAUUUAUAUCUUUUCGCCAACUUUUCCAUUAAUAUUUUGUUAAAUUAUAUACAAAAAAACUUCAGAUACCCCAUCUAGAUUUAUCGAAUAUUCACUUUAGUAUCCUUUAGUUUUAACUUUGUCACUGAUUUAACGAGAAAAAUUAGUAGAAUCGAUAAUAAAAAGAUAAAAAUGAAAUCACAAGGCACUAAAUUGAUACACUUUAAACCACAGGGGUACUAAAGUGAGAAAGUCUGAAACUACAGGGGUGGUUUUUGCUAAAAUAAAAUAGGGUUAAUUAGUCAAUAAACUGAAGUUAAUU